AUAAGCCAUGCAAGUUGAAUGGGAUACCUAAAUUUUCCAUAGCAAACUGCUCAGUAACACAUGAUCAACUUGCCCUAUGGAGAAAAAUAACCUCGGGAAACUGAGGAUAAUAUUUCAUAGUUGAAUAGGCUUGGAAAAGUUUUUCAAUGAAAAGGAAAAGAUAAAUGGAUCUUUUCUGCCAUAGGAUAGGAUCGUGGUCGAUUAUGGUAGUUGGUGAGGUAAUGGCUCACCAAGCCGAUAAUCGAUAGGGGCCGUGAGAGCGGGAGCCCCGAGAUGGGUACUGAGACACCGACCCAGACCUUACGAGGUGCAGCAGGCGCGAGACCUCCGCAAUACACGAAAGUGUGACGGGGUUACCCAAAGUGUUCAUUUUUGAACUGUGGUAGGUGAGUAAUGUCCCCUACUAGAAAGGAGAGGGCAAGGCUGGUGCCAGCCGCCGCGGUAAAACCAGCUCUUCAAGUGGUCGGGAUGAUUAUUGGGCUUAAAGUGUCCGUAGCCGGUUUAGUAAGUUCCUGGUAAAAUCAGGUAGCUUAACUAUCUGUAUGCUAGGAAUACUACUAUACUAGAGGGCGGGAGAGGUCUGAGGUACUACAGGGGUAGGGGUGAAAUCUUAUAAUCCUU
rnacentral:rRNA from 1 species